UCGACCUGGUCAGCUCGUUCGACGACGCCGCUGCCGUGGGCAGCGGCAGCCUGGGGCGGCUGGUGCCGACCAAGCAGGUCCGC
rnacentral:tRNA from 1 species